UGGAAGUCAAAUAUCACAACACAACAGUAAUCCUACGGCUGCAAAUCACUUCCCCUUUAUAAAAACCCUAAAAAAUCACAAAUAAAUAUCAAUUCCUCCAAAAAGAAAAUAAAAAAAAAUAUCUCACAAUUCUCUUCUCGCUCUUUACAAAAUGGAACCCAACGAUAGCCAGCACCACCACCUCAGCUCCUACUUCACCACCACCACUCCCACCACCACUACCCCCUCGCCGACCAAUGGCCUUCUGCCACCGCCUCCCAAUUCCACUACCGAUAGUGGUGGGGGGCCCCAUAUGGUCUACCCUCUCUCCGUGGGUCCAUCUUCGGCCGCAGUCACCACUGCACCAGCGGAGCCCGCCAGGAGGAAGCGAGGUCGGCCGAGGAAGUACGGGACGCCAGAGCAAGCUCUGGCAGCAAAGAAAACCGCGUCUUCUUCGAAUUCUGUUCACAAGGAGAAGAGGGAAGGCGCUUCUUCGUCGUCUCCUUCUUACUCGGGUUCCUCCAGGAAAUCUCAACAGUUGUUUGCUCUUGGCAAUGCUGGGCAGGGUUUUACUCCACAUGUUAUAACUGUAGCUGCUGGUGAGGAUGUAGCUCAGAAACUUAUGAUGUUCAUGCAACAAAGUAGGCGUGAGAUGUGUAUUUUGUCUGCAUCUGGUUCAAUCUCAAAUGCAUCCCUCCGCCAGCCAGCGACUUCUGGAGGCAACAUUACAUAUGAGGGUCGAUUUGAUAUCAUUUCUCUGUCUGGAUCAUAUGUGCACACUGAUAUUGGAGGGAGAACAGGUGGGCUCAGCGUAUGCCUUUCUAAUACAGAUGGUCAGAUCAUUGGAGGAGGAGUUGGUGGACCCCUAACUGCCGGUGGCCCUGUUCAGGUCAUUGUUGGUACAUUUCUUCUUGACAACAAGAAGGAUGUUAACACUGGUGUGAAAGUUGAUGCUUCUGCCAGCAAGUUGCCUUCAGCAGUUGGAGGGGCGUCGAUAUCAAACAUUGGCUUCCGUUCUCCAGUUGAUUCAUCUUCUGGGAGGAAUCCAAUCAGGGGAAAUGAUGAUCCUCCAGCUAUGGGAGGAAAUCCUUUUAUGAUUCAUCCUCGGGGUAUGCAUGUGGCACCUUUGAGGUCCACAGAUUGGAGGAGUGGUCCGGAUACUAGAGUCAAUUCCGGUUAUGAUUUGACAGGAAGAUUAGGCCAUGGAGCGCACCAAUCUCCUGAAAAUGGGGACUAUGAACAACUUCCAGACUAGGAGAUUAGUUUUAGGGCUUCAAACACCAUUUUCCGGUCUCUCCCUCCCUAAAUGACUCAGGUACUUUGACAAGAGAAAUACAUGUACAAACUUUUUUCAUCUCCUGUGGACUGUAACAUGGUAUAUCUGUACAGGUUACUUGCACUAUUUAACUCUUUGUUAACUCUAUUUAACUCUUUGUUAACUCAUGCUUUUCUAUCCUCUAAAUUAGAAGUGUUGGCCUUGUUA
rnacentral:misc_RNA from 1 species